GCGAAUGCUCGUGAGGUAAAUCAUUUAAUGUUUUUGGUAAGCUGCAAAAUCUGGACUGCAAAGUGCAUGAUUUCUGUGCCCUCGAUAUUUUUGGGCUUAAUGGGCCAAAAUUGGAAUGAUGAGCCAACGGACCCAAUUCGGUAAGAACCCUCGAUACAUGAUUCUGUUAGUACGUGAAAAGUAAGAAUAUGCAUGAAAAACC
rnacentral:lncRNA from 1 species